rnacentral:rRNA from 1 species
GAUGAACGCUGGCGGCAGGCUUAACACAUGCAAGUCGAACGGGUGUAGCAAUACAUCAGUGGCAGACGGGUGAGUAACACGUGGGAACCUUCCUCGGGGUACGGAACAACUCAGGGAAACUUGAGCUAAUACCGUAUACGUCCGUGAGGAGAAAGAUUUAUCGCCCUGAGACGGGCCCGCGUCGGAUUAGCUAGUUGGUGGGGUAACGGCCUACCAAGGCGACGAUCCGUAGCUGAUCUUAGAGGAUGAUCAGCCACACUGGGACUGAGACACGGCCCAGACUCCUACGGGAGGCAGCAGUGGGGAAUCUUGGACAAUGGGCGCAAGCCUGAUCCAGCCAUGCCGCGUGAGUGAAGAAGGUCUUCGGAUUGUAAAGCUCUUUUGCCAGGGACGAUAAUGACGGUACCUGGAGAAUAAGCCCCGGCAAACUUCGUGCCAGCCGCCGCAGUAACAC